GGGGAAUAUUGGACAAUGGGCGAAAGCCUGAUCCAGCCAUGCCGCGUGAGUGAUGAAGGCCCUAGGGUUGUAAAGCUCUUUCACCGGUGAAGAUAAUGACGGUAACCGGAGAAGAAGCCCCGGCUAACUUCGUGCCAGCAGCCGCGGUAAUACGAAGGGGGCUAGCGUUGUUCGGAAUUACUGGGCGUAAAGCGCACGUAGGCGGAUUGUUAAGUCGGGGGUGAAAUCCCGGGGCUCAACCCCGGAACUGCCUUCGAUACUGGCAAUCUAGAGUCCGGAAGAGGUGAGUGGAAUUCCGAGUGUAGAGGUGAAAUUCGUAGAUAUUCGGAGGAACACCAGUGGCGAAGGCGGCUCACUGGUCCGGUACUGACGCUGAGGUGCGAAAGCGUGGGGAGCAAACA
rnacentral:rRNA from 1 species